rnacentral:rRNA from 1 species
CAAGAGCGUAUAUUAAAGUUGCUGCGGUUAAAAAGCUCGUAGUUGGAUUUCAGUCUAGGAAGGUUAACUCGCCGAAAGGUUGUACGUUGAUUUUCCUCAGACUUCGUCAGAAGCUCGUGCUGCACUUAACUGUGUGGUACGAUGUUCUGACCUUCUACCUUGAGGAAAGUAGAGUGUUUCAGGCAGGCUACCCAGCUUGAAUACAUUAGCAUGGAAUAAUGAAAUGGAUCUCGGUUCGAUUUCGUUGGUUCUAGAGCUGAGGUGAUGAUCAAUAGGAACAGGCGAAGGUAUUCGUACUUGAGAGUGAGGAGUGAAAUCCGAUGAUCUCUUAAAGACGAUCCGAGGCGAAAGCAUUUGUCAAGGAUGUUUUCAUUGA